GCAAUAGCGUCGGACGGCCAUAAAAGCGUCUAUCGGCAGGCCCUGGGCGUGCGGGUACUUGAGUGAUGUGACCGCUCAGCCCACGCACCGUCAGCUCACUCCCGAUCUGAAUCCGGAUCUACUCGUUUCACUUCAGUCUGCGGCGACGACUUUUCUCCUCCACCGCAGAUCUCGUCGGCGCUAGCACCAGCGGCAGCGCCAAAGAGCUCGAUCUGCUCUGCUGUCAACUUCUUCAGCGUCGCGAACUGGAGGCGGAGAGCUGCCGUUCGGUGUUCGUUCAGGCUGCUCUUCUUCAACCUUCUGCCUUUGGCGUCGUCUCUCCUCCUCACGGAUCCCGGUCGAGAUCUCGUCCACCGCCAGGUCGCACCCUGCUGCAGCCUUGUGGUCACGAGGCGAGGUCGCCGUCUUCGCGUCAACUGGAAUCACAUCUGGCAUCGACAAGCUUACUAUUUCCUCCGGCCCGAUCUCGCAUCGAGAAGCAAUUUCCUCCGGUUGGAUGUGGCAUCGACAAGCUUACUGUUUCCUCCGGUUUGAUCUGGCAUCGAUCUGGAAUCACAUCACAUGUUUGGUCUUCCCUGAUCCAGAUCUCUUCACUGCAUCGAUCUGGCCUCCCUCCGAGCACCUCCCGACUGCAAGGUGUCAAUGUUGAUGUGUCCCUUUGCUGAGGACCUGAGCAUGUCAUCUGUUGUCUUGGGGACAUGAGCCUCAUGGUAUUUCAGGAUACUUCCAUGACGCCAAAUAUCUCCGGAAGUCAAUUCACAUGGCUUUGCUUCCUCCUCUCUUUUUACAUGUUGCUGCUGAACAUGUGCUCUUCAGUCUGUACCUAAAAGUGUCAAUGAUUUUGUUCACGUUGUGCUUA